rnacentral:rRNA from 1 species
AGCGGACGCUGGCGGCAGGCCUAACACAUGCAAGUCGAACGGAUCCUUCGGGAUUAGUGGCGGACGGGUGAGUAACACGUGGGAACGUGCCCUUUGGUUCGGAGCAACUCAGGGAAACUUGAGCUAAUACCGGAUGUGCCCUUCGGGGGAAAGAUUUAUCGCCAUUGGAGCGGCCCGCGUCCGAUUAGCUAGUUGGUGAGGUAAAGGCUCACCAAGGCGACGAUCAGUAGCUGGUCUGAGAGGAUGAUCAGCCACAUUGGGACUGAGACACGGCCCAAACUCCUACGGGAGGCAGCAGUGGGGAAUCUUGCGCAAUGGGCGAAAGCCUGACGCAGCCAUGCCGCGUGAAUGAUGAAGGUCUUAGGAUUGUAAAAUUCUUUCACCGGGGACGAUAAUGACGGUACCCGGAGAAGAAGCCCCGGCUAACUUCGUGCCAGCCGCCGCGGUAAUAC